rnacentral:RNase_P_RNA from 1 species
CGAGUUGGCUUAUCGCGUCUGAGUAAUUAGGCGAGGAAAGUCCGGGCAGCGCAGGGCACCCUACUUCCUAACGGGAAGGCGGGCGGUUGGGAACGACCGUUCGACAGCCAGUGUCACAGAAAAUAUACCGCCCACUUUUCAAUGAGUGAAUGAUAGAAUGCGUGAAUGCGUAAAUAGUUGACCAACCUUUUGUUCAUUCAUUGACAUACUCACUCAUUCACUCAUUGAAAAGCGGGUAAGGGUGAAAAGGUGGGGUAAGAGCCUACCGCUCGCCGGGCGACCGGCGGGGCAGGAUAAACCUUAGGGGCUGAAAGACCAAAUAUGCGUCGGACGUGGGGCGGCCCGUCUCCGUUCUGGAGCAAUCCGGAUACCGACGCGGGUAGGUCGAACGAGGUGGCCGGUGACGACCAUCCCAGAUAAAUGAUAAGCCAUUCGGAUGGACCGUCAGGUUCAUUCGGAGG